rnacentral:rRNA from 1 species
CAUAACACAUUCAAGUCGAACGGACUUAAUGCGAAAGCUUGCUUUUUCAUUAAGUUAGUGGCGGACGGGUGAGUAACGCGUGAGCAACCUGCCUUCGGUAGUGGAAUAACACAGGGAAACUUGUGCUAAUACCGCAUAACAUAUACGUGUCGCAUGGCGUGUAUAUCAAAGAUUUAUCGACCGAAGAUGGGCUCGCGUCUGAUUAGAUAGUUGGUGAGGUAACGGCUCACCAAGUCGACGAUCAGUAGCCGGACUGAGAGGUUGAACGGCCACAUUGGGACUGAGACACGGCCCAGACUCCUACGGGAGGCAGCAGUGGGGAAUAUUGGGCAAUGGGCGCAAGCCUGACCCAGCGACGCCGCGUGAGGGAAGAAGAUUUUCGGAUUGUAAACCUUAGUUAUCAGGGAAGAAACAAAUGACGGUACCUGAAGAGAAAGCCACGGCUAACUACGUGCCAGCCGCCGCAGUAAAAC